rnacentral:rRNA from 1 species
ACAAACUCCCAAACCCUUUGUGAACCAUACCUAUCGUUGCUUCGGCGGGACCGCCCCGGCGCCCUCGGGCCCGGAACCAGGCGCCCGCCGGAGGCCCCAAACUCUAUGUUUUUAGUGGUUUCCUCCUCUGAGUGACAUAAACAAAUAAAUAAAAACUUUCAACAACGGAUCUCUUGGCUCUGGCAUCGAUGAAGAACGCAGCGAAAUGCGAUAAGUAAUGUGAAUUGCAGAAUUCAGUGAAUCAUCGAAUCUUUGAACGCACAUUGCGCCCGCCAGUAUUCUGGCGGGCAUGCCUGUUCGAGCGUCAUUUCAACCCUCAGGCCCCCAGUGCCUGGCGUUGGGGAUCGGCGCGGGGCCGGUGCUCUCCCCCCGGGGAGCGCGCCGCGCCCUGCCGGCCCCGAAAUUCAGUGGCGGUCUCGCUGUAGUCCCCCUCUGCGUAGUAGCACAACUCGCAUUGGAGCUCGGCGGUGGCCAUGCCGUAAAACACCCCACUUCUGAAAGUUGACCUCGGAUCAGGUAGGAAUUCCCGCUGAACUUAAGCAUAUCAAUA